GCCAGACUCCUACGGGAGGCAGCAGUGGGGGAUAUUGCACAAUGGGGGAAACCCUGAUGCAGCGACGCCGCGUGGGUGAAGAAGCGCCUCGGCGCGUAAAGCCCUGUCAGCAGGGAAGAAAAUGACGGUACCUGAAGAAGAAGCCCCGGCUAACUACGUGCCAGCAGCCGCGGUAAUACGUAGGGGGCAAGCGUUAUCCGGAUUUACUGGGUGUAAAGGGAGCGUAGACGGCGAUGCAAGUCUGAAGUGAAAGGCGGGGGCCCAACCCCCGGACUGCUUUGGAAACUUUUUUGCUGGAGUACCGGAGAGGUAAGCGGAAUUCCUAGUGUAGCGGUGAAAUGCGUAGAUAUUAGGAGGAACACCAGUGGCGAAGGCGGCUUACUGGACGGUAACUGACGUUGAGGCUCGAAAGCGUGGGGAGCAAACAGGAUUAGAUACCCGAGUAC
rnacentral:rRNA from 1 species